UACAACUUUCAGCGGUGGAUGUCUAGGUUCCCACAACGAUGAAGAACGCGGCGAAAUGCGAUACGUAAUGCGAAUUGCAAGACCUCGUGAAUCAUUAAGAUUUUGAACGCACAUUGCGCUUUCGGGAUUUUCCCGGUAGCAUGCUUGUCUGAGUGUCUGUG
rnacentral:rRNA from 1 species